AUUUACGAUGGCUGGGUGAAACAGAGAGACGAGAAGAGACGGUGGGAGAGUGGGCUGCCAGAGAGAGCUAUGUACCUCUCGCUGCCUAGACAGACAUAGGGGCGGGACUCGCACGAUAGAGAGAGAGCUAGCUAUCAACAUCAACAUCAUCUAUCUAUCUAUCCCAUAUCCCAUAUCCCACAUCCCACAUCCCAUAUCCCAUCCUAUCUUAUCCCAUAAGCCACAUGAGUUCCCAGAAAACUGCACCUGACCCGACACCAAAGCAAGCCACAGCACACACUACCUCCGGCCAGAGGCACCUCCUGCUGCUUGCACAACAUUCGCCAGUUGCUAUGGCCUGUGCUAUAAUUAUAAAUGCCUGUGCUAUAAUUAUAGCGGGCAGAAUACAGCACACAGGCACGCCCAUAUAAAUAGAAACCGAACAGAAAAAGAAACAGAAACAGAAACGGAAUUGGAUUGGAUUGGAUUGGGAACGAAAAGAAAACGAAAAUGCAAUCUGCUUUAUAAGUGAUCAUGAGCAUCAUGAUAAUGACGGUGACGGUGACGGUGAAGUGUAGUUUUACGUUCGUAUGCACAAUGGAAUUCUCUCCUUGUACCUUACAUAAUUACACAAUGGAAUACGCAUACAAUUCUAAAGAAGAAAAGGACUCAAAUAAGUGGAAAAACUAAAUGGGAUGUAGUUUGCUUGAUAUUGGAACGUCAGGGAUCACAUUUGUUCGAUAGAGAACGCUCGGAUGGAGCACUGACACAUUUACAUAUUACGUUUCAAGCUUCAACUGAUGGAGAUUCAAACAAUAGUAAUUUUUAUCAACUCUUGCAUAGAUCGUAGACGGGACGGGGGCAAAGAUCAAGAGAUUAAUGAUCGUGUUCAUUAAGAUCUUGUCAGCCAUACCACACCGCCCCUCUCUAGCCACCGCACAUCCCGUACCUCCACACCCUGCGGCUCAUCAAUUUUUGCUAAUUUACAUUUUGCUCGUGCCACCAAAAAUAACGGAACACAAAGAAGAGCGCGAAGAAGAGAUGAAGGAGGAGGCAAAGGCAGAGCGACAGCGACAGCGAGAGCGAGAGGGAGAGGAGAAAUGAGGAAUUCUAUCAGGCAUUUCCACUGAUUAGCAUUUGUUGCAGUGUGCGUGUAAUCCACGUGCGUGUGUGUGCGUGUUUGUUGGUGUGUAUGCAUAUUUGUUAAAAAUAAAACUAGAGUUUAUAAAGAACAGAAAUAAAUUCAAAGGAAAAACCAAAAAUAACAAAAACGGCAAACGCGUUGCUGAAGUAGAGAAAACUGAAGGCGGCAUCGGUGGCGGUGGCGGCUCGUGGCUGCGGUGGGGUGUGGUGUGGCCGGGGGCCAACUGUGGCAGGGCAUACAUAUGUGCAUUUAAAACACUUUUUAACCCUAAAAAUAAAACAUUUCUAACGAAAAAAGAAACAAAAGUGGACUCAAUACGAAAUGCAGCCAAAAAUUCAGGCAAAAAUAAAUCCCCCAGACUAUAAAUUGAAUACAAGCAGAUCAGCAGUGGCAGUGGCAGCGGCAGUGGCAGCGGCAGCGGCAGUGGCAGAAGGAGCUUCAGAGCAUUCUCUGGGCAUGCCUUACCUUACCUUUGCAAUGCACCUUGAGAUGAAGCAGCAGCAAAAGCAUCACAGCCGGAAUAAACAGUGCAAGCAGAGCACCAGGAGCGACCAAGCCAGUGGAUGGGAGAGGGGAAGCAGUGCUGAGAGCAGGUGGGGCUGUUGCACAUGCUGCCCCAUGCGCCCAGCCGCCAGUAGCCACAGCCACAGUAACAGAGAGAGAAAGGGAAGGGAAGAGAAAGUGACAUGCAGACAGUAAAAGCCCGCCAAGUGCACCGAGCGGCAUUCGCAUGGGUAUGUGUCCAUCAGAGGCCUGACCACCCUGUCUCUCUUCAUCGCUCUCUCGCUGACGACUCUCUUGACUUGGAUUUCUCGGCUAUUUAUAGAGGAUUUUAUUUAAAAAAUGCGCAAAAACUCAUACAUAUUUUCGUAGUGAAAACAAUAAAUAUAGAAUCAUUAAGUUGUACACGCGUUUAUAUUUAGACUCCCAACGGGGAGCGCGAGCGAGCAUCCGAUGCCCAACAGAGCAGAAGGAAACGCACAACCACACACACUCACGCACGAGCCUGCACGAAUGCAUGUAACAAAGCAGUUAAAGCAGAGGAGGAGCAGAUGAAAGCAGUGUACGAGCGCAGAGCCAAAGCAGACCAUGGCCAGGCGAAAAGUAUUAAUAAAGCGACAAAAAGCAUACAAAUAUAAACCAAAACAAAAAACGAAUACGGGGAAAUCAGGAAGAGGGAAAAGAAAAAGCGAGGGCGAGGGCGAAGGCGAACAAUUAUAGCUGCUGGAUCAAAAUCACACCAAAAUAAAGGGAUAUGCAUA